rnacentral:rRNA from 1 species
CCUACGGGAGGCAGCAGUGAGGAAUAUUGGGCAAUGGACGCAAGUCUGACCCAGCCAUGUCGCGUGCAGGAUGACAGCCUUAUGGGUUGUAAACUGCUUUUAUGCAGGAAGAAACCCCCCGAUGUAUCGGGGGCUGACGGUACUGUAUGAAUAAGCAUCGGCUAACUCCGUGCCAGCAGCCGCGGUAAUACGGAGGAUGCAAGCGUUAUCCGGAUUUAUUGGGUUUAAAGGGUGCGUAGGCGGGAGAUUAAGUCAGUAGUGAAAUCCUGCAGCUUAACUGCAGAACUGCUAUUGAUACUGGUUUCCUUGAGUACAGUUGGGGUGGGCGGAAUGUGUAGUGUAGCGGUGAAAUGCUUAGAUAUUACACAGAACACCAAUUGCGUAGGCAGCUCACUAAACUGUUACUGACGCUGAGGCACGAAAGCGUGGGGAGCAAACAGGAUUAGAUACCCCGGUAGUCC